rnacentral:lncRNA from 1 species
UUUCAAAACUAACAAAACCUUUGAAAUCGCUUAGCUACAUUAAUAUUUCUUUCUCCAUUCUGCAUUGAAGUAUCAGGUGCUGAGGUUUUGUCCAGUGUAUCUAGGGCAAAAGAACUGUGGUGAAAUUCUGCAUUAGUUUUAACAACUGAGACUGAAACGUUAGGGAGAGGAAUAAAGGGUAAAAGGAGGGUAAGGGAUGCUUACCCAAUCCAUAAAUAUUUCUGCAAAGUUAGGUUUGAUAACUCCACAAAGAGUACAAGGGAAUUAAGAUGUAUUUAAAGUCUGCACAAUGCUGCCAUGCAUUUAUAUAAAGGUUACAUUUAUCAUAUAAAGGACUUCCUCCUCCUUUCUUUCUUAAUUCUACUAGUUUUGUUGGUCAUCCUUUCUUUUACUUUAUGUUUUUUUAACCUUAGCGGGAAUGUUACAUGAACAUACAUGGAUGUGAAUGGAUAAAACUGGAUCCCUUGAUAGCCAGCAUCUUUUCCUACCAAGUUAGGAGGGCAGAGGAGACAAAAUGCAUCUUAUGUGAGGUAAAGGACUGAAAAAGGGAUGCAGUGUCCGCCUCUGGGGAAAUAAAUCUAGUUGCAACAGGCCACUGGAGCCAGGACAUAGAUAUCUGAAUUGCCUCUACAGAAAAGCCUGUGACUUAGAAACUGUGUGUUAGGGAAAAGAGUGAAACGCUUAUUCAAGACAAGUAAAAGAACCCAUGCAAUUACUGUUACCUAGUCUUUGGAUUAGCACUAAGUUCAUAGAACAACAAUAGUAUAAUGUUAACUGACAGCCUAAAACUAAACAAAGGAAAGAAAUUUCAAAUUUGCUCCAUUGAACCUGAGUGUAUAUAUAUAUAUAUAUAUAUAUAAUUCCCAUCACCUUUCCAGCUGAGAGAACAAUGGUCCACUUGGAGGCUACAGGGGAGAGGUAUUCAGUUUUUCUGGCUAAAAUUCAUUUUCCGCAUUGAGUCCUAACUGCAGAAACAGACAGCUGAGUGAACAGGCAGUGUGGAAGGGACCCCAUGUGUAAGUGACAUUGUUCCAUAUUUUCUGCGAGUCACAGAGAGUUGGUGCACACCCAAUUUUUCCAUCAGUAAGAGUUUUAGCAGCUUCUGCACUUUAUCUCCGGUGAGUUAAGGAUAACCCAGUGUCUCCUUUUUCAAGGGAGGGCUGGUUCACACAGACACCUGAAAGUUAAGGAAGAGAAGCAUUGAGCUUGACAGAAAAUUAUGCUGUAGAUGCGCAAUACCAUUGACCAGUGUUAUACCCAAAUAGCAUAGUCAUUUGCUCUUUGAGUCAAACUCAAAAAUAUGUGUGUAAAUAACACGAUCAGAUGUGUUGCACAAGUGCAUUAUGUAGUUAGUUUUUUAUGUGGAGCAGGCAGGAGGACAGACAGACAGACAGAAACAGAAGAGAACUCAGGUAAUAGGAGAGACAGCCAAUGAUAUUACUGCUUAAGUGUAAAAGUCAUGGUUUACAUCCAGAAUAUUUGGUCUUAAUUUAUUCAGAAAUCACAUUAAUAGAUUUAGAAAAACUAAACGCAGCAUGGAAUUUACUAGGGUCUUCCCUGUCUUGUUCGGCAUGUAUCUUCUCUCUAAUGUACCACUCUCUCCCCCAGGCUCCAGUCUGUCCCCCCAAAAGUCAAUCAAAUGUGUAUCAUAUAACCUGUUUAAUUUCCUACAAAAGAUUACAGUAAGUGUGCUUUUAAUGUAAUGAUGUCAGUGGCGGAUGAUAACAUGUAUUAAGUAGUGCAAACUGCUGAUUAUCUGUCAGGAUAAAUCUGUUUAUUUCAGAAAUAGCAGUCUGACAACCCCCUGUUGUUAAUCAUGAAAGUACAUGCUAAUGCCAGGUACUGUUUGGUUGGAGCCUCUCAGAGGAAUGCAUUUGUUAGAUUUUUGCUUUGACAGUCUUUACACAGAGUUUUGCAAAUUUACUGUGUACAUAUAUUUAUUUAUUUAUUUUAAGAGAAAGGCUAGAAGAAGGCUAGAACAACUUAGGUUCACCGCAACUCAGAGGAAUGAAUGACUUGUGAAAAGAGAGAGUGGAUUAUAGGAUUACACAGCAGUUCAGACUGUGCCCAUGGCUGGAUUCAUCUUCAGUAAUUUCAGUGCAGAUCCAUUAGUGAUGAACAGAGAAAUGCAAAAGGAAAUUUAAGGAGUUCUUUCUCUGCGGAUGUCACUCCACAGUUUUAUUUGUUUAUUUAUUUUCCAGUAUUUACAGCAGUUCCUAAUUAUAUUCUGGUCUGAAAAGACCGUCUCCAGAUGAUACUCACAGCAUUCCUCUUUAAUGAGAUAAAUAGCAAAAUGAACCAGCCAGCUUUUUUGAUGUGAAUUUGACCCAGGUUUUGUGUUGCAGAAAAUGAAUAUUACUUAUUUAAAAGGAAACAUAAAUGGAAUACUCUGCCUUAGCUUACUAAAUCAUAGGUGAAGAGGUAUUUUGUCUGACUUUAUUGCAUUUUGAUCAUUUCAUGAAAGCUGUAAAAUGUUGAAUAGUUUAAUAAAAAUUGAUAUUUAUAUUGACAUUUCAGGAUUCUAAAUAGAAGCUCAGAAAAUCUAAACAGACUUUAGCAUCUCCACAGCUGUUCCUCCAAGCCUAUCUGAGUUCUGACUAAUUCACUUUUUCUCCCCACGUACCCUCAAUUGGCCCUAAUAUAAACAUCUCUCUCUAAAGCAAUUUCUCCCCAGAAGAUUAUGCACAUCUUCAUCUUAAUUCAGAAUUUACAUGUGUACUUUGCAUAUUUUUGCAUCAGUAUGUGUAUUUUAAAUUAGAUAAAGGUCACUGUCAUUCAUAAUCAAGAAGAAGGUGUAUAAAAGGUCAGGAUUCAAUAAAAAAAACUGAUUAGAUGUAGAGGUUUGUUCAUAUGAUUCAGUAUAUCAUUGGAUAAGUGGAAAUCAUGAGUCAACAAAUUAACCUUGGUAUAAUGGGUUACUUGUUUCAUUAGGAUCAGAAAUGAGAUUCACAAUUUUUUUUUCCAAUGUACUCCCUCUUUGUCUCUGUAAUAAGUACUAUGUUGUUGAUAACUACGCAACUGAGUAUUUUUGUGAUUUAGUUCGGCAUAAAUGCAACACAAAAGACAAAUCUUGUGUUAAAAGGGGAACGGUGGUGCCAAAUAUGUUUGCCAUGAUUACAAAUAUUGAUGAAAUGAAAAAUAUCCAGUGUAAAAAUAGAUAAAUUUAAAAUAAUGUUCUAUAUGUUUUGUAUAAGCUUUCGCUUUAGCCUUCUAAAGAAACUGUGCUGAGUCAGGCACUCAGGUUCUGGUGUUAAGAGGAGGCGCUGGUGCAGGUGAGGAUUACCUAAGAGCAAAGAUAAAGUUCCAUUCCACUUAUUGAUUCUGCCAUGAAUCUUCUAAAUGUUUUUGGGUAAACAUUGACUCCAUUUCCUACUGCAGAAAAGAAAAAAUAGUAAUGUUGCUUAUGUUUCAGGAAUAUUUCUGCAGACCUGGGUCUACCAGAAGGUCUGAGGAGAUUUUAGGCUUUCCACUACUGACCUCUUCAUCUCAUCAGAUUUCUGGUCUCUUAUUGCAGUCAAAGAAGCAGGGCUGUGGGUCUCUGAACUUGAGUAAAACCUGCACCUAGUAACAUCUCAUGAUGCUCCAGUAAUAUUCUUCAGGAUAGAGGUGAAACAACAGCAGAGGAAGGAGUCUACAUUUAGAAAACAAUCUGGCCUAUGAAAGACAGUAAAAUUUAUACAAAAUAAUAACACAUUAUUCUCAACUUCAGGCUGUACAAAGUUGGUGCAGAUUUAAUGAAUCCAUCAUAAGCUUUUCAAAACUUCUCUUCUCUUCUCUUCUCUUCUCUUCUCUUUUUUUCUUUUUCUUUUUCUUUUUUUGGUAGAGGUGAGGUUGUUUGGUUUUUUUGUUUGUUUGCUUUUUUGACUGGAAGGUUUUGCAACUAUUUCAACUUUUACUAUCGCAGAAAAGUCUACUAGAAAAGCAACAUUACAGUUAAAAUAGUUAUACAUGUCAGUAUUUCAGACAUUGUAUAUUUCUUUAAGCUUUCUUCACGUCUGUGUAGAAUAAAUAUCAAGUUACUACUUAUUCACUUUUUUUUCCCUUGGGCAGCAUUCUGUAACUAUUAAAUCUUAAGUAUGAAAGAAAAUUAGACUUGCCUGUUACCACUAUAAACUUACACCCAACGGUUUUCAAAUACCAUGUAGGUAAUCUUUCUUUUGUAAACAUAGAGUCUUGGGGUUGCUCAUAAUUAAAGCACCACAAUUUAAGCUGACUCUUUUCUGAUCUCCAUAUGCCUCUUUCUCUCCCAAAAUGUAAUGGAAAGAAAAUACACUGAACCAUGGCAAAUUUUCCUUAUUGACAAUAUUAUUUGAAGUUCAUGUAGCUUUAGUAUAGCUAUAACAGUAAUCCACUAUUUCAUUCUUUCAAGAUUGAGAUUGUAGUGUCUGUUCCUCAUCGUUAAAAGGGUCAAAUAACUUUUUGCUUUAACCAAGCUUAGCUUACUGUAACAACCAGCUUCUAUGUUUCCUCAUGGGAAACGUUCUUGGGUUCGUAGGGGCAAGUUGUUUGAUUAGUCACCUGAGUUAUGCUGUAGGCAGACUCCUGACACAAAUUGGCCUUUGAAAUACCAAGCUCCACCAACAGAGUCAUGCACAAUGUGUACCUGCCGCAGGGUGUAUGUAAAUUCAGAGGGUGCUCUUGAAGUAGGUCUUCCCAUCAUCCGAAAAGACUGAGCUUCAGCCCACAUCGGGAAAUAGCCUUGUUCACUCUAUCUGUAAACCAGAAAAUAUGUUUCAGGAAUGCCUCUAGUGGGUUUGACCAGUUGUGCAUUCAGAUCACAGCACAAGACUAGAAACCACUAUCAAAUAAGCUUGAUGUAUAUAUUGCGUCCUCAGUGUUUAACAGUUCACACUACAAAUUGGCUUCUACUGUCUACUAAAUAGACAAAUCCUUAGACAUUUCUUUAUGUCUAGUGUACUAAAAAAGAUUCACCAGCUUCAACCCCUAUUUCAAUAUUUGGGAGCCACAGUAUGUCCACGUCAUCACAUCUCAGCUCUUGCUACAGGCAUAAAAUGAAACUUUGGCCACCUCUUCAAAAUCAUGAAAUCAUAUGGAUCAAGUUACAUACUUUCUAUUCUGUGGUCAUAUGUGACUGUCAGCUGAUGAGGAAGAUGCUCUUUAUAGGUUCUCUUCUGUCAAUAAUAUCUCCACAGUAAAAACCAGAAAAGUGUUCUCUGUACAGAAAGAAAAAUGUAAUUUCUCAUUCUCCAUGGCAGCUGAGGAAGUGACCUUACGACACUGGGCAGGACAAUCUGGUGCAUAAUUGCUAAGUGUAAAUAAAGCUAAACUAUAGGAGUUCUGUAGAAGAUAAUGCAGAUAUUCCAGUCAGGUUUGCAAUGGUUUUCUCUGUAACAUGGUAGGAGGUAAUGAGCAAGUGGAAGAGAAGACGAGUUUAUGUAAAAUGGCCAGACCUCUUCUGAGACUUUUCCCUGAAGCAACGUUGUACCAGCUGUUAUUGUAAUUAGACUGCUCCAGUGGGAAGGCGCAUGUCUCUUAUUCUUGUGGUAUCUCGGACAAAUCUUUGGACUGUGAUAUCUUGCAACAGUCCCUGCCCACAUCAGCAUACUUUGGCUGCAUAGAUAUGUCACUGUGCACGUGAUUCAUUUAGCCAAUAGCACGUGUCUUGAAAUCUCUGUGAGGAGAAGGUACUGGAAGUGAAGAAUCUCCUAGUUCUGACACUGGUUUGCAAAGAAUGUUUGGAAAAGUCACCUAAGCCAUUUUUUCCAAACUUAAAGUUGUGAAUUUAAAUUUCAUGUUUAAGCAUCUAAAUUAGUGGUCUGAUUUUAAUGUUUGCUGACAUUCACAUUUUCAAUUGACUUCAAAGGAAGCUGUGAGCACUCAGAAGUCUAAACCUAUGAAAAUCAAGCCAGUUAGACACUCAAACUUGAAAGGUUUCUCCCAUACUAUUAUUGUUAUUUGCAUUACUUUAGUAGCUUGAAACCCCAGUUAUAAGACUAAAGAGCUAGGUACUGUAUUUUGUAUCUCCUUUUUAUUUUUCCUCAUUUCUUUAUGCGUAAAACCUGGCCCACAAGAAUGUUGUGAUGCUUCUUCAGUUAAUAUUUAUAUAUAGCUUUGAAAAAUAAAUGUUAUAAACAAAGAAUAUAAUUAUUCAUGGAAGAAAAUAGUAUUCCUAUUAUUCAUUUCUUCUUGAAAAAAUCUCUUUGGAACUUAUCCUUAUGAAGCUCUAUGUACUAUAAAAAACACUACACACUAUAAAAUAUGGAGGUCAAAUUCAUAAUUUUCUGUUAAAAUAUAAAUUAAACUCAUAGCAGUUUGAAUAGUGAACAAAAAUCAAAUAAUUGUGUACUUGUUAAAUCUGAACAGCAGUCCACCUUUAACAGCUCUUACACAAUACCCAGAGAAAUUAAGUUGUACAAUGAACCACAAAGCUUUCCUUAGAAACUUCUGUCUUAGCCAUACCUCUUUAUUUUAGUUAUGCCGAUCCUUUACCAACAAACAGUAGACUCUUUGUAACUGGAACCUAUGUAAAGCUUACUUUUCUCCCUGUGGAUUCAAUAACUAAGCUGCUUGGAACAGCUUUGAUGAAACCAUCUUCUUUCAGAGAGUGCAGUUCUGGCAGUGCUGAUAAAUUCCACAAAAUGGUGUCAUUUUAACAGAUGUUUUCUUUGGGAAUCUAAGAGGGAAAGUGGUAAUGCACUGGUAUUUUCAGAACAAACCUUUAUGGAAAUGGUUUUUGUUUACAUGUUUUUGAAACCACAGUCUUAAACAACACAAAAUAUUUUCAUUUUGCUAAAUCAAAAAAUGGCUUUUGCACCCACAAUUAAUUAAGAAAUACCUCAAAGAACAUUUUUAUGUUUUGUUCCAGUUUAAAACUUUUUAAAUAUUGAAGUUCAGUUCAGUGACAGCAGAAUUGUUGUAUCUGAGGAAAAGCAAUUGUGAUCUGCUUGAGCUUUUUGUAUGCCUAAACACAAUAGACGUGUAUUAUCCAUAUAUUGUCCAUAGUCUUAAAUUAAAAAUAUGUAUGUCAGCAUUUCUCUAGAAAAAAUAAAUUAUUAUUAUUAUUAUUUUAAUAUUAGAGAUUUUACUAUUUUUCAGUGGUAUGGCCCAUGGCUAUGGCAUUUUACCACAGGCGCUUCCCAGUGUUGUUAGUCAAGCAGUGUAAUUUUAAUAAAUGUAUAAAGGUGCAAGCGUUGAGUUUUUGGUUUGUUUGUUUGAGGGGGUUGAGUUGGGGGUUGUUUGUUUGUUUGUUUGUUUGUUUAAAUAAGGCAGGUGGUUAAGACCAAGCACUAACUGAUUAAUAAGUUUGUUCAAGCAGGCCUUCAUUCAGUCCUCAGGAAUAAGUGCUCUGUCUCCUUGAUAAAUAUCCAGGCUAAACACAAUGUCCUUAUUUCUCUAAUACUAAUUGUUUUAAUGGGCAAUUCUUCAUAAUCUUUAACAGCAAUAAAUUGAUCUCCCAAACUCAGAUGUCAAAGCAUUGUCCAAGUAUUGCUAAGAAUCCAACUGUAAGUGCACCACAGUUCAAAAGAAGGAAAUUUUUAAUUUACUCCGGGGACAGAAUUUAUUAGGCAUAGUAGUGAGGAUUCUAGAAACACCAGCAAGUCAAGAAUAUUAUUUUUCUAUAAAGCAGAUAAUAUAGUAAUCAAUCUAGACAGCCAUUGUAUGUCUUCCAAUACUCGGGAUUUUAAUAAAAGUAAUCAUCAGGAUUUAGACUUUCAGACCUUUACAUCUUGAACCAUUAAAAACAAUGAUACAUGAUUUUAAUCUGCUCGGUGUAAACUGAUUGAUUUCUUGCUUGUAAAUUUCAGAGUCUUCAGAUAGAUCAAUUUUCACAUCUACCAUAUAUAAUUAUUUUCUGUUUCCUUCUUUUUUAAAAGGCAUGGAUCACUUGGAUCUCCCUUUUUUUAACUGACAAUUUUCUGACAGCUCAUAGGAACAAAAAAUAAGGCCUGAAGAGAAACGGAGGCAUUUUCUAUUAAGGGUUUAGCACAAGUGUAUAUGUCCUCUGAGUGCAAGGGGUUAUGUAUGCCUCCUUUAUCAGGUGCUGCAUUAACAACCCAAUGUUUUAUGCAUUUUAUUCAUAAUGUUCCAUGUGAUUAGAAACCUGAGAAUGGAUAGCUAAAUGAAGUUUGCCUAAAAAUGAAGAGAAAGACAUAUGCUCCUGAGCAAAAGGACUCAGACCCAUACCUUCUGUGAGAUCUGGGGAAGUCAUUCUUUUGAAAACUGAGUUGAGAGGUCUAAUGUGAUAAUAAAGGCUCACAACUCUUGCAGGUUUCCUUAGAGUUGUACUUCAGAAACGUGAGGUGUGAAAGAAGGGCAAUCUGUGCCAGAUACUGAUUAAAUUUAAGUAAUCUAUCCAAAGCAGUCUCUAGUUGCUUGUAAAAUGCUCCAUGUAAUUACAGUAACUAUACUUUUUAAAGCAAUUUACACAUUAGCUUUUAUCUUGGGUCUCUAUUUGUGGGUGCAUUUCUUCUUUGGAAUCAAUAUCCUUAAAAUAUAUGUUAAAAACUAUAUGAAUUUGUAGCCAUAUAGACCCUAAAAAAAUUCCAUCUCUAGUAUUAUCCUCAUGAAUUCCUCUUGCCUUUUGGAGAAGCUUAGUUAUAAUCAAAUAUCACACUCUGGAUGUUUAGCUAGCAUUGUUCAGUGACCCCAGCGGUAUUUCACAACCAUAUUUAAAACUGUUAAGGAGUUAGGAGUUGAUGCAAAAUCAAACCAAGAUAUAUUAAAAUGCCACCAGGAUAAAAUAAUAUUAAGGGCUAAACUUUGUCCUUUGUAUGUUACACAGGUGCAAAUGUCAAACUUGGCAAAUCCUUUCAAAACUUUGUGAAGCAUAAUCUUUCAAAUAUUUUCUAGUCUAGAUUUUCCUAAUGCAGGAGCCAUGCAUGUAGUUACAGGAUGAACAAUGGUCAGAUAAAAGGGGUCUGGCUCACUGUAGUGAUAUUCUAGUUUUAAACAAGUGUCUGCAAAGUUUUCAGGGAAAUUGUACACGCUAUUUCAUUAAAGUUUUAGUGGCUAAAAACAGAAUAAUUGCAAGGAGUGAAUCAAACUCCUUAUAUUCAGUAAAACUGUUCCCAUUAGAGUCACACAAUGCAGCUGCAGGUAGCUUUAAGCAUUUUUGUUGUUUUAUUCUGUUUGUUCGAGGUGUUUUUCUUUACUGCCAAACACAGUAAAGCUCCUUAGUUAUUUAGCACCUCAUUCUUACCAAGGCUAUUAUCCUAACUGGGGCUAAUAAUAUGAAGCAUAUUCAAGUUUGUUGAGGAAAACAAGGGUUACUAGAGAUAAUCCAAAAAGUUGUUCCACAAAGGAUUAUCAGAGAUGCUGUUUUCAAAAACAGCCACAUAUCAGAAAGUGGGCAAAGAACUUGUAACUCUUGUGAUUGAUCCUCUGUCAAGUCAUGACUACUGUCACCAGUUGGUUACGUUCCUUCAACAAAGCAGUAAGCAUUGAUGCAUUUUAAGCUAAAUAAGUUAGGCUUCCACUGUCAUAUUCCUUUUCUUAUCUCUCUCCUUACUUCAUCCUCUCACAUUAAAAGAGAUCAAUUUGCAAACUGAAAAGAGCAGAUGGCAUAUACAAUAUCCUCAUAUAGUGCAUAUUACUGUACUUUAAUACUAGUGCCCCUUACAUAUUGCCAUUAAAUUUAUUAUUCUUAGCUAUUAUUUCUGGCUAAGAAUCUGGCUCUGCAUACACUACUUUGUGAGGAAGAAGAACAUGUGUAACAUACAGUUUUACAUUUGAGUCUCAGGAAUUUUUAUAACUAGGUUUAUAAGCCCUGAAAUCCCAAGCACUUACUUCACUUGACCUGUGUGAGUUAAGAAAUUACUCAACUUUUAAACAUUACAUAUAGACAAAAACGUAUCUUUAAGAAAUCAUGAAAUCAUGUAAUAGAGGAUGAUUUUUAAACAGAUUUCAAAUGAAGUGCUUGCAUAUGAUUCUCUUGGAAGACUUUGAAUUCUCUCUUGUACCAUCAACUAUCAUCUGUUCAGUAGUCUGUGGUCAAGGAAUGGUCAGGGCAUUCUUUGUCUUUAUCUAUCCAGGAAACUCCAUUCCCUGUCUUUGAAAGUGUUCAGUGAAUAAACUCAUACAUAGCUCUCAGAUAUUCCAUGCACUUUUCUAAAGAAUGACAGAGAUAAGUUCUUGGAUAUUCCAGGGAAUCUUUGCAUUUGUAAUUUAUUACCUGGUAUUUUUAUAGGGUUUUGUUUUUAGGUUUGUUUUUUUUUUUUUUUUCAAAGACAUUUGUCAUUUAAACUGGUAGAUUUUCUGCUUUCAUAUCAUAUUAAGGUAUAUUAAGUUACUUUAAGGCAAAUAAAAUUUGACGUAAGUAUUCACUUUUUGCCGUUGAAUUAACAGUUUGUCCAUGAUCAACUGGUUGUCAGAUAAGUGUUGACUUUUGCUAAAGAUUCUUCACUGAGUGCCUAUCUUUAUAAAGUCCUCUCGAGUAGCCGCAAGCUACAUUUUAGUUUGACUUGCAUAAAAGGUAGUGCUCGAUCUGCUUUGACUUUGUGGAAAAGCAUUCCUGACCAAGCAGUGGAAAGUGGCUUUUCCCACAGUGGUCUGUCACCUCCUUUUGCCAGAAGUUUCCAUCCUCCCACCUCCGCUUAUGGAAGAGUUUAUGGUACACAUUUCUUUGCAUUGCAGACAAAAUGAUCUGGGAAAGCUUAAUGGAAUGUCGAAGGUGAGUAUGAGCUAACCCAGCUCAUUCGAUUUGAAAUGAGUUGAAAACAUACUCCAGUGACCUCCUUCCUUUGUCAGAGCUCUGGUGUAGUAGCUUCAUGCAAUGGAAAACAGCGCCAACCAAUUCACAGAGAUCUUGAAGAAGACUUUUAUCUGUAUCCUGUAAAGCAAGUUCAUAAGUCACAUUACCUUCUCUACAGCCUUUACAGAAAAACUUAUAUCAACUGUAAAUGAGGAGCUGACUUUUAAGGGAAGCCAAGCAACCAGCAAUGAAUUACAAGUAGGCAACAUAGGGUUUUUUUAAGCUAUAACCAUAGCCUCUAUUGGUCAUUUCAAUUACUGAAUGUCUAGGGGCAAAAUGUCCAGGCCAAAUUUAGCAAAGUCUCUAACAGCAGUAGUAAAAUGCUGUCUCUGGCAAAUUCUCUCUUCUCCAGACACUGGUUCAUUUUUAAAAAUUACUGUCUAGGUAGUAGACUCUUCUGUUAUCUUUAGCAAAGAGACUUCUGGAAGUGAAAGUCCCUUUCAAAUAACUGUAUUCUGACUCCCAGUUUUUAACCUAUCUUCCUCCUUAUAAAUAACAUAUGGAAAGCUGAAGAACCUAAAAUGCCUAUAGAAAUACUACAAAAUAAUCUCAGGCAACUGAUGCCUCCAUUAUUUAAUGCAUUAGUAAGUCAACUGACUCAUCUCUGCUACUCUUUUGUCCUCUAAUAUAAUGUUUGAAUCAGGAAUUGUUAAAGUUCUCAUUAGGUUUGUUGUGGGGUUUCAUAAUGAAUUCUUUUUUGCAAGCUGGAAAGUCUUUUGAUUUUUGCUUGCAUAUUCAUAGAAGAACUAUGUCAUAAACAAAGUCUAAAUCUGGUACUACUCUCUUGCUAAGCCACUCUAAGACUGGGUUAUAUCCUUCUACACUUUGCCUCAUAAAGAAAACAAUGUCAGUGCUAAGUAUGGAAGGUGAAGAAGGUUGCUAUUUAAAGAAUAAUUUUCUGGCACAUGCAGCACCAUUGGAGGUACAUCAUAAACAAAAAGAUUUUGCUUUUCUUCCAUAGUGCGAAAUUCUGCCUUUGACUAUCCCCAAAGAAAUGACAAUAGUCUCCUCUGUGCAAGAAUGUUCAGUACAAGCCAGCUAAACAUAGAAAGAUAGCUCCUUCUAUUUACUUGUAUAAAUAAGAUAUGCGUGUAUUUUCAGUCUUUUUUUAAGACCACUCUUUCCCUCUAAUACAAAUGCCCACAUGAAUCAACAAGACUUAUCCUGUCAACAUGAAAAGACAAGCAUCUACUAAUAGAUAAUGCACAUGAAUACACUGGUCAAGGAAAAGAAUCAGGCUUACCUGAUUUGUUUCAUUCAGUGGCAAGUGUAUUUGCUUAGUACAGCAAAAAAAUUCUGUAUCUCCUAAUGAUGUGGAACUGAAUUCUUUAUCUCCCCUGUUGCUAGCUUGCUUUUAAGGCAGAACUGGAGAUAUCUAUCACAGCUAAAUAGGUAUUUUGUAAAUUGUACUUAAAUGUCUUUAAGAAAAGUUCCAAACCCCAUGUUGUAUAACUAUUGCCUGAGAUAUUAUCUAGCUUGGCAGGAAAAACAACUUAAUGUUACAUUCUUCUCACCAAUCAGCAAAACAGAAUUUUGUUUUUAAUCUAUUCACAGAUAACAGACCAGUAUUAAAGCUAGAAUUUUGACUUCUAUUUGUCAUUUGCUUUUACGCUAUAUGGGCCUUUUUAGGGUACUCACAGAAAUGUCAACAAUAAUGCACAAAAUCACUAUCUUGUGACAUAAUUGAUUAGCUGAUCAGAGUUUCCUAUUCUAUUUCUUUAAUAUAUUUUUUCCAAGAAUAAUGGUUAUAUUUAUAGAAAUAUAAUAAUUUUCCAUGCUAAAGUAAAAUGAUAUUUGACAUUAACAAAAGGUCAGGUGUCAUACUGUAAACCACAAUGAGUAUUGCUUGUAAAGAUUAUUGAAUUAAAUGGUACAUAUAUUUGACAAAGUAUAGAAUUCAAAUAACUGCCGAAGUAGCAGUGCCCUUUUAUGUGCCAUGGAUUUAUUGGCAUUUGCUAACUGUAAAAAUGUAAAACAGUUUGCACAUAAUUGGCAUUAUAUAUAUAUAUAUAUAUUUUAAGUCUGAGGAACACAUCUGUUUUCACCAAUUCCUUCUCCUUUUGCUCACACAUUUAGACAGAUAUCUGUUUGUACACCCAACUAUUCUUGUGGCUCUUGUAGACAAGAAAUAUGUUCACUUUUUGAAGGCAUUUUCACACUGUGCAUAGUUUAAACUGCACUAUCUUUGUUUUCUUAAAAAAAAAAAAAAAAAAAAAAAGCGCAGACUUGAUCCAAGGCUUCUCAGAGCACCAAGGUAAAAUGAGUGUGAGGGUAGCAUCGUAGCUUUUCUAUGCUAUUUGCUUACACCACAGGUCCAUCAAAGUCCAGUUUGACUGACUGUUCUUAACUGAAGUGCCAGGCAUUUUAAGGGUCAGAAGCAUUGUCAGAAUUAUGCCAGAGCUUGUCUGGAUGAAACACCAGUACUUCAAGAACUGCCAGUGUGUCAUUUCGGUUCUAAGGGCAGAUUAGCUAAAAGGGAAUUUUAGCACUGAUAGAUUUGUAAACUACUAUUAUUCAAACAUAGCACCUUUUGUCUGUGCUUAUAGUUAAUAAAAAUAGAAAAGCUGUAGAGAAGAAGGCUAGUUCUGUAGAACAAACAUGUCCCACACUACUAUAAAACGCUUACAAGGAUGAACUAUUUAAUAACCAAAUAAGUUGUUUUCCUUUAAAGGGAUAUUACCACAUUCACUUUAAUCUGUAUUUUCAAGCAACUUUCUCCACUAAUAUCAGAUUAGUUUAUUAUAAUGGAAAUUUUUUGCUUCAUUUUGUUUCUUUUUUUUUAAUUUGCAGCAUAUCUUCCACUAUAUGGUGACCCAGCCUAGCCAAAAAUCUCAGACCGGUCAGUUCGAUGUUCAAUGUUGAAGAGAUAUUUUGAUCUAAUAAUCUGUCUUUUUAAUCGUUUUGUAUAUUAGAAUGUGAAUUCAACAGAGGAAAGCAGCUAUCUGACAUCUUUUCAUUACUCAUCAUCCAUUUGUCAUCAGGAAGGGUGCUAUUCAAGGUACACUUAAAUCUUCCUUCUUUGUUUAUCCUUUCUGGACCUUGCAAGCUUUCAACUGGUGACACCAGCUCACUAGUUCUGCUAACUCAGGGCUGGUUUUUUUUGCAUUUCUUUCUUCAAACUCACAUCAGCUAUUACACUCAAGAACUGAAGUCUUAAUUAUAAAGCAGCAGUUAAAAUUGAAACAAUUUGUGUUCCUUUCCUACGGAAUGAGUUUUAAAAAAACCUCAUAACCUGCAUGUAGUGUAGUAUCUGAUAGGUUUAUUGUGCAGAGUACUUCAGGUUUUGAUGUGAGAAUUACCAUGAUGGAUAGAUAGAAACCUCGUUUUCAAUGAACAGAGGAAAAAAAAAUAGUCACAUAUAAUUCAAUGUCAGCACUCAAUUUUCAAACAUGGGUGCUUUAACAGUACUGCCAAAUCUUGCAUUCGGUCUAUUAAAUCAGCACUUAGGCAAAUAAAACAGCCAUUUGAGUGACAAUUUCAACAUACUAAUGAGGUAUUCAGAUGUCAGCAAUUGAAAAAUACACAUUGGCCUUUUGAAUUUAAGCCAAGGUUGGUUCCGGGCUAUAUUAAGAAGGCUUAAGACAUUAUAGAAGGAUCAAAACCACUUUUGAAGUUAUCUCAAUUUUUCUGGGACAGAGGCAGAUGGGAUCAGAUUUCUUUGUGAAGUUUUCUCUGUUUACCUAUAUUCCAUUGGUUUCUGAUGUAAAGCAUUCUUUUGUCAUUUUAUUUGGAGAUGAAAGGUCGGCCUUAUGCUUUACUUUUUAAGAAAAAAAAAAUGGAAAUUUUAUCUUUAAUUAUGACUGUAACUUUUGAGAAUAAACGAAAGUGUGGUGCCAUUCUUGUUACAAAUUUAUUAAACAGUACUAUUGUGCUGUCUACAAACCUUCAUUCUUACUAGAAGCUCACUAUCCUAAGCUCUUUCUAAACAGAUUGAAAAAAUUCCUGCACUAGAUCUAAGUGCAAGAUAAUACAAAUAGUACAAAACAGAAGACAUGAGAAAAAAUUCACCAAUAUAAUAAGCAGUAUUCUUUUUGAAGCAUAAGCCUUAUCAUUCACAGGUUCAUCAGAGCAAAGAGGUUUUAAGGAGGAAUUUGAAGUGGAACAAUGAUGUGUUAUUUAACACACAAAUUAGCUCUGAUAUUAAUGGGCAUGAUCUCUGCCUAUUCUGAUAAUGUAAUCUAUUUUAGCUUAUUUGCCAGCUCCUUGAAAUUGCUAGGUACCCAUUUACUGGAUUAAUUAAUUAAACAUAUUUAAAUUAUGCAUUAGUCAUGGCUUUAGAAAGUUAGAGUAAAUAACAUAGGCUUUAUUAAUUUUCCCUCUCUUGUAAUUCUCCUAUUCCCAGUCUCUAAUUUUCAUUAAUUUUACUUUCAUUUUUUCUUCCUUUUAAUUUUUUGUUAAUUUUUUUAAAAUACUGCUGGUUGUGUCACCACUGACUGAGAAAGGGGCAGGUGUCUUUUCUCUGAAGUGACACCAGAACUGAUGCAUGGAGAACAACUGAGCAUAGGGUUGCCCGUAGGGAUGGAGUGCACCCAGUUUUCCCUAGGACAAGUUGUCAAGGUUGGAGGCUUAAUAAAUUAAAGCAAUUUUUUUUAAUGCAAAAUAUUUUCCACCACUUUUAUAUUUUCUGCAUUGUUCUGCCUUCGAACAGGAGACAGAGAAAUGUAAAUGUCAAACAUUCACUUCUGUUUAAAUGGGCUCAUUAUACCACAGCAUGUUGAGGUUUUUUGCCUACCGGCCGGUUCUUUUCACUGUCGUAUCCUGUAAGCACUUUCCUUGCACCUGCCUGAGGAGACUAAUCCUCUAUUAAAACAUGUUCAAACUGAGUGAAGGCAGAAAUAGCAAUCAUUUCACUCAAAGAAAAUGAAUCAAAACCUUGUAAAAAUAAAUAAAUCAGGGUAGCUUUGGUGAAGACAUUUGCCUGUUUGGUCUGUACUUGGAGCUUUGUUACCUCACUAUUUUCCAUCUGGAGAGCAGGCUUUGCCCUUAGGGCAUGGGCCUAUUUUGAGCACAGUGUGAAGAAAACUCCCCAGAUGUAGGCCCUCAGCAGUGUCAUGGGCAUGCAUGCCAUGCAGAUAUCACCAGUCUGGGGCACGAUCUUUCUUCACAAGUGAGCAACCCAGAGACCCGCCAUAGUCUCAUUUUCUUCUCCAGGACCAUGGUUAUUGACUUAGAUGGGACCAUAAUUAUUAAUAAUAAUAUGAAUAAUGUCUGCUAACUCUCCCCACUUUGGUUCAGUGUUAGUCUCUGUAGGGAGCUGUGGGAACAUUGCAGAGGAAGGUGAUGUCACUGACCAGUCUGUUGAGGAAAGAAGCUGCCUUUACCAGAUAACAAAGAACUACAGACUGACAGGGUAAAGGAAGAGGGUAAAUCUGUUCUGACAUGGUAGAUCAGCAGGCUAAAUUCUGUGUGUCUGAACUGCACAAUCUAAGAGCACAGAUCCCAUGGGGCAGCCUUCAUCAGUAUAAAAUAAUGGACUAAGCACAAUGCACAAUGACCAUAUUAAACUAAAAAAGUACUCAUUGCAACUGCUGCAUAUGAAGCCAGGUAAAUAAUUUAUGAUACAAGAUCAAACUUUUCUUGAACCAAACCCAUAUAUGCUAAUGAAAUUGGUAUAAAGAUCAUGGAUAAACACUGAACUGUUUAAUCUGAAGGCAGUAAAACUAUAUGGAUAAAUGUGUCUGUUCAUUCUAGUUGAAAUGAAUUUUCAAUUUUUUUUUUUUUAUAUAUCUUUCUAAGUUGAAGCUAUGGAUGGAUUCUGUUGACAUCUGAUAUCAGUAUAUGUUUUAUAACCAAAAAAAGUCACCGGAAAAAGCAAUGCUGUCUCUUCUAUUUGUAUGACUUUCGUUCUUAUUCAGUUUGCAACAUCAUCUCAAGAGAUGUUUUAUGUUUCGUAUUUGACUAAGAAAUUUGAAAUCGCUCUAUCACAGAACUGAUUGAAGAAUUGCAGGGGUUGGAAGGGCUCAUCAAGUACAGCCUCCAACGUAUCCAUCACAUUAUGAACAUAUACACCACAAAACUGCACACUGAAGUGAGUAUGUGGUAUGUUAUUUUAUAUUGGUCUCAACUACCUUGAUAUACACAAUCUGAUAUAUGCUGAAAAGAUUCCUUUCAUAAUGCUACCAAAAUACAAUUAGUGCUAGCACCGUCCUGAAAUAGUGAUUGUAUGGAUCAGUUGGGGAUCUGAUUGUGAUUUUGAUUAUAGAUUCCCACAAAUGAGUAAAAAUGGUAAGAACCAGUUUACAUUGCUUCAGAAGUUUAAGUAGACAAAGAAAUUGUACCAUACUAGUCAUUCACAUUUUGGAGCAGAUCAGUAUUGGUAUGGCAGAGUUUUCCUCUUUUCCUAUUAUCAUGUGUUUGGGCAUCUGAACUUGCUUCUGAUACAGAACAGCAUAAAAAAUGAUACUCCAGCAAUGAGAAGAAAAUGGAAAAUUCAGCAGACAGCUAAAUCAUAAGGUCUGCAGAGGUUCAAGAGGGACAGCUUAUGUACCAGCUUGUGCUAAUGACUGUACUUUAAGACAAAUAGUCUCUAGCUUUUAGAGACUAUUUUGAGAUCUCACGCCUACGCAGUAGUAUAAUUCAAACUAUGAAGCAAUAUUGUACUAGUAGAAGAAAACAUUACAUAUCUGUAACAGUGGAAGUUUUUAAGAUCCUGGGAAAAAUGCAUUACUAACUGUAUGGGAACUGUUAGGUCACAGCUUGAACCAGUGACUGAGCACCUGGUGAAGGGGCAUAGUAAGCCCUAGGAGCACAGGCGGAAGCAAUUCACCUGUGCUACCAGAAGGGGUAUAUCCUGGCUCCACCUCUCCCUAAGUUUGUUUAAGGGCUGGGAGCUGCAAGGGAAAUGUCUCUGCUUGGUGGUUGCCUGCUUUGGAGAGUUUGGU